rnacentral:rRNA from 1 species
GAUGAACGCUGGCGGCGUGCCUAAUACAUGCAAGUCGAGCGAACAGACGAGGAGCUUGCUCCGCUGACGUUAGCGGCGGACGGGUGAGUAACACGUGGAUAACCUACCUAUAAGACGGGGAUAACUUCGGGAAACCGGAGCUAACACCGGAUAAUAUAUUGAACCGCAUGGUUCAAUAGUGAAAGACGGUUUUUGUGGCACUUAUAGAUGGAUCCGGGCCGCAUGAGAUAGUUGGUAAGGUAACGGCUUACCAAGGCAACGAUGCGUAGCCGACCUGUGAGGGUGGUAGGCGACACUGGAACUGGGACACGGACCUGGCUCCUACGGGACGCAGCAGUAGGGUAUGGUCCGCAGUAGGCGAAAGCCUGGCGGAGCAGCGCCGCGUGAGUGAUGAAGGUCUUCGGAUCGUAAAACUCUGUUAUGAGGGGAGAACAGAUGUGUCAGUAACUGUGCACGUCUUGACGGUACCUAGUCAGAAAGCCACGGCUAACUACGUG